UUGCAGUUGCAGGGGAGGUAGUAGCGAGCUAGCUCUCUGUUUUGUUUGAACGCCAAUAGAAGUGAUGUUACUCAACAUCGCUUAGAGCGCCUUUAAACUCAACCAUAUUUAUG